UUCGCAAUAGUAGUAGAGCAUCUUCCUGUUAGCUGACGUAUGUCGUCAUUGGUCACGACGUGGCUCGUCAUUGGUCACGAGCUUCUGGGAGGAGCUGUUCAGAGAGGCGAAUCAGAUAUGAACCAUGUUCGAAUCAUUGCCUCUGUUUGCCAGUAGUGCGAGGGAACGUCGUUACCGAGGUCCGAAUGCUUAAACUUUUUGUCGAACACAGGUGUCUCCACUUCGUCCACGAUCAGAGAAUCUUUGUACAAUGAAGGAAUUGUUUAGACCAGGACAGAGGCCUCCAGAAUUCAAACUUCAACCAUUAAAUCACAGAGAAAAGAGACAGACAUGAAGAUGUUUCCAGAAGUGCUGUCAGUUUCGCAAGAACUGCGUCUGAUGUUGCGCUUUGACGGUUAUCCCGUUACGCCAGGGAGUCAAGAGUGCUUGGAGAGGCGUUCACAGAACCUGUAAACCAAAGCUGGGGCUCUCGCACUUUGUCUGCUUCACGUAAGAUUACAACUCGCAGUCCCUUUUCUUUUAGUGUUUGCAUUUGUUUAAUAUAGUUCUGUUGUUGUAGUUGUGUCAUUUAAUAUCUGUCGCACGUACAUCUUUAUAUACAACACAAAUCACACAAUCAUUUCUUUUGCAUUUAUUUACUUGUGUUUUAUUUGUGCUGCUGCCUAACUUCAGCAAUCACACCAGUGUAAAAUUCUUUCAACACAAUGUGAAGCUUUGCCUGGAAGUGGAAAGUUUAGACAUGGCUCCUUGUUGAUACGGCACAAUCUCGUCUCCAGCACACGGGCGCAGAUGAACCUCAUCUUGUUUUGCAGUGGAGACACUGAAAUUCACAGAAAAAGACACUGACAACAGACUAACGACAAUCAUUUUGUCUAACUUUCCAAUUAAUCAACCAUUCUUAUGUAAAGACAGGUGUUUUUUUUUGUUACCUGAUGUGUGGGGAUUGCCAUGCUUGAAGUCUUCAUCAGAUGUCUUGCUGAAACUACCUGUCAGCUCAUUUAUGUGGAACUAAAACUGGACAACAACAGGAGUCAGUCUGUCCAUCUAAAUACUGUUGUUUUCUUUCAUCCACUCCUGGUGCAGAAAAAGAACAGACAAUCACUUUUCUAACAGACACUCCACCCACUGAAAUCAACACUACUUUGUUUGGGGGAAUUCAUUUACAUGGUAAGACUGGUAAUUUGCUGAUCUCAAAGGACAAAACCUUUGACAUUUUACAGUGCUAUAACAUUAUUUGAGUGUUUUUGACUGUUUUCCAUGCCUUACUGUACUAUGACAUUUUUUGACUGUUUAUGACUGUUUUUCAUGCCUUACUCUACUAUGGUAUUUUUUGAGUGAUUUUCAUGCUUUACUGUACUAUGACAGUAUUUGAGUGUUUUCCACUGUUUUUCAUGCCUUACUGUACUAUUACAGUAUUUGUGUUUAUUAAUGUUUUUCCAUUGUUUUUCAUGCUUUACUGUUCUAUGACCUUUUUUGACUGUUUUUUUAUGCCUUACUGUACUAUUACAGUAUUUGAGUGUUUAUGACUGUUUUUCAUGCUUUACUGUACUACGUUGUUUUUUGACUGUUUAUUACUGUUUUUCAUGCCUUACUGUACUACGUUAUUUUUUGACUGUUUAUUACUGUUUUUCAUGCCUUACUGUACUAUUACAGUAUUUGAGUGUUUAUGACUAUUUUUCAUGCUUUACUGUACUAUGACCUUUUUUGACUGUUUAUUACUGUUUUUCAUGCCUUACUGUACUAUUACAGUAUUUGUGUUUAUUGUUUUUCCAUUGUUUUUCAUGCUUUACUGUUCUAUGACCUUUUUGAGUGAUUUUCAUGCAUUACUGUACUAUUACAGUAUUUGAGUGUUUGAGACUGUUUUUCAUGCUUUACUGUACUAUGACCUUUUUUGACUGUUUAUUACUGUUUUUCAUGCCUUACUGUACUAUUACAGUAUUUGUGUUUAUUGUUUUUCCAUUGUUUUUCAUGCUUUACUG